UCUGUGUGUCGAUGUCAAUGUGUCCGUCCUUCACUCCUCCAUUGUCUGCCGCCGCCAGUGCUGCUGCCGCCCCUGCCGCUGCCGGAAUCGCCGCAGCUCCCAGCCUCGCGCGUCGCCGCUACCUUCUUGGACAGAAAUUUUAUGAAUAAGCAUCAGAAGCCAGUGCUAACAGGCCAGCGGUUCAAAACUCGGAAAAGGGAUGAAAAAGAGAAAUUCGAACCCACAGUCUUCAGGGAUACACUUGUCCAGGGGCUUAAUGAAGCUGGUGAUGACCUUGAAGCUGUAGCCAAGUUUCUGGACUCUACAGGCUCAAGACUAGAUUAUCGUCGCUAUGCAGACACACUCUUCGAUAUCCUGGUAGCUGGCAGUAUGCUUGCCCCUGGAGGGACACGCAUAGAUGAUGGUGACAAGACCAAGAUGACCAACCACUGUGUGUUUUCAGCAAAAGAAGAUCAUGAAACCAUCCGAAACCAUGCUCAGGUCUUCAAUAAACUCAUCAGGAGAUAUAAGUAUUUGGAAAAGGCUUUUGAGGAUGCAAUGAAAAAGCUUCUCCUCUUCCUUAAAGCCUUUACCGAAACAGAGCAGACAAAGUUGGCAAUGCUGUCGGGGAUCCUCCUAGGCAACGGCACCCUUCCUCCCACCAUCCUCACCAGUCUCUUCACCGACAACUUAGUCAAAGAAGGCAUUGCGGCCUCAUUUGCUGUCAAGCUUUUUAAAGCCUGGAUGGCAGAAAAAGAUGCCAACUCUGUUACCUCUUCUUUGAGAAAAGCCAACUUAGACAAGAGGCUGCUUGAACUCUUUCCCGUUAACAGACAGAGUGUGGAUCACUUUGCUAAGUACUUCACCGACGCGGGGCUGAAGGAGCUCUCCGACUUCCUGCGAGUGCAGCAGUCGCUGGGCACCAGGAAGGAGCUGCAGAAGGAGCUGCAGGAGCGCCUGUCUCAGGAAUGCCCGAUCAAGGAGGUGGUGCUCUAUGUGAAAGAAGAAAUGAAGAGGAAUGACCUCCCGGAAACAGCAGUGAUAGGCCUGCUGUGGACCUGCAUCAUGAAUGCUGUGGAGUGGAACAAGAAGGAAGAACUCGUGGCAGAGCAGGCCCUCAAGCACCUGAAGCAAUACGCUCCCCUGCUGGCCGUGUUCAGCUCCCAAGGCCAGUCAGAGCUGAUCCUCCUGCAGAAGGUCCAGGAGUACUGCUACGACAACAUCCACUUCAUGAAGGCGUUUCAGAAGAUCGUGGUUCUCUUUUAUAAAGCCUCUGGGGGGCAGUAAAACACAGGAAUGAGCUCUGAACUUCAGAAGGAAAUACCCAAAUACUAUUACUAAACGCAGUCUUAACCAGCUUUCCAACAUGUACAUUGUACCAGAUGUAAUUCAUUAAGGUGAGCAGAAAAAUAGAAUGUCCCUUUACAUGUUUGCCACACUUUUAAUUCUAUUUUUUGUUUUAUGACAUUAAUAAUAAUAGUUCUAUAGGACAUACAUACAAUUUACAAACUGAAAAAUAUACAUAUGUUGGGUGUACAUGCUCAAAACUGUCUCAUAGGGGAGCAUGAUCCAAACAAUUGGGAGAUAGCUGUUCUAAAUCAAGCAUCUUAAAGAUGUCAGAGAGAUAGAUUAUAUAAGAGAGACUUUAAAUCUGUGUUUAAGCUAAGUAGUUGAAAAAUCUCUGUAAAGCAUUCUUGCACAGAAACAAGUCACUUCCUCAGGCUCCUCGCCUCUAGAAAAACUAGGUUUUGAUGGAAAGUGGGUGGGGAAGUUUUCUCAUCGUUGUGAGUGGAGGAUGUGGAGGUGGGAACAGAAGAAGCUAAAAGACUAGAAGCUAAGAGUAAUUCCAUAGGACUCCUGAUUCAAUCUUUUAUAUCCAGUUUUUAUAUCCAGACUUCCUCUUUCCUUCGCAAAAUGUAGUAUAUUUAAUUAUUAAAAUAAAUAAAAACCUUAUAUUGUCUAAGACCAAUUGUGUGCAUUUUUAGCCAAUUUGAUUUCCUCAGUUGAAUACAAGAGCCACUUAUUAAUUUAGAAAAAAUAAGAUUUUGUUAUAAAAAGAUCAGUGAUAUUUUAAAUAAAAAUUAUGAAAUCAUUUAUCUUGUUUUCAUAAGUUAAAUUAUAUUUUGACUGCAAAUACAUUAUUAGAGUAACUUAUCAGUGUUGUAAUGGAUUGGAUAGGUAUUAGGGACAAUAAUAAAUCCUUUUUAUUGGCUUUGCAUCUCAUUUCCCACUCAAAUCCCCAAAACCAACCCAUUAGAUCAUUGGUAAUGUAUGUAUGCUAUUAUUUUGAUAUUCCCCUUCCCAUUCUUAACAUUACAUUUUUCUAAAUUAACCAUAACUUUAUGCUAUCAAGGCAUAUUCAUGUAAUUUAAAGUUUUAGGUAAUUGAUAGGUAAUAGAUAAUACUUUUUGUUAGAAACCUGUAGAAAAUUGGUCUAAUAUGUCUGUUUUUCUCUUAAUAGAGUACAAGGAAAACAUUACUAUUGCAGUUUAGAAUAUGAUACUGUAGGAAAAUCAGUAAUUUAGCGAUAGGGUGAGUGUAGAACUUUGGGUUAUGUGUGUAUUGGUCCCAUGAUACACCUAGGAAGCUCAUCUUUAUAUCUAAUUAUUACUAUCAUUAUUGCAUCCUGUCUACAUUUUUUUAUUUGCCCUUCUUUUUUCCUAAAAUAGUACAUCCCCCUAAAAAGUCCAGUCAUUGAGGUUGCUGCUUAAUCAAGAUCUGUUUGAAGUUGGCAGGAUACAGAGUGUUCUGAAAUGCUGACAUUGCUGAGUCAUUUGCAAAAUUACAAAAUAUCUACACUGUUUCCUACCAGCAAAUUUGGACUUUAAGAGGUUUCCAAGUCCCAGUGUGACUUGCAUAUAGGCCUGCAUUAUAUCAUGACUGAUGAGAGGUAUCAUCAUCAUCACUACUUACUAAGCUAAAAUGCCAAAAUAUGCCACUGUUCUAUAUGGAAAUGAGCUUGGUUCCUGUCUUCUAGUAAGUUUGAGCUGAUGUGCUGAGUGAAGAAGCGAUAUUGAAAUGGUACAAAGAAGCACACGUGGCCAAAGGCAAAAGUGUUUUUCUUGACCAGAUGAAGAAAUUUGUUGAGUGGUUGCAAAAUGCAGAAGAAGAAUCUGAAUCGGAAGGUGAGG